UUUAUUUAGAGAGUUUGAUCCUGGCUCAGGAUGAACGCUGGCGGCGUGCUUAACACAUGCAAGUCGAACGAAGCACUUCGGACAGAUUCUUCGGAUGAAGUCCUUAGUGACUGAGUGGCGGACGGGUGAGUAACGCGUGGGUAACCUGCCUCAUACAGGGGGAUAACAGUUAGAAAUGGCUGCUAAUA
rnacentral:rRNA from 1 species